rnacentral:rRNA from 1 species
CCAGACUCCUACGGGAGGCAGCAGUGGGGAAUAUUGCACAAUGGGGGAAACCCUGAUGCAGCGACGCCGCGUGAGCGAGGAAGUAUUUCGGUAUGUAAAGCUCUGUCAGCAGGGAAGAAGAAUGACGGUACCCGGAGAAAAAGCAUCGGCUAACUCCGUGCCAGCAGCCGCGGUAAUACGGAGGAUGCGAGCGUUAUCCGGAUUUAUUGGGUUUAAAGGGUGCGUAGGCGGGCUGUUAAGUCAGCGGUCAAAUGUCGGGGCUCAACCCCGGCCUGCCGUUGAAACUGGCGGCCUCGAGUUGGAGAGAAGUAUGCGGAAUGCGCGGUGUAGCGGUGAAAUGCAUAGAUAUCGCGCAGAACUCCGAUUGCGAAGGCAGCAUGCCGGCUCCACACUGACGCUGAGGCACGAAAGCGUGGGUAUCGAACAGGAUUAGAUACCCCAGUA